UCCAUAAAGCAGACUAGUGCUCAGCAAGAGCCUACCCAGUCGGAGGUUAUGGCACCACAGCAUCAUCCUCUUGCAGGUAUAUCUCUAUCAAUUUAUAAAUUAUGUAUAUUUUUUUAUUAUAUACAUCCAUUAGUAGAUGAUAUAUGUUCAUUUCACAAAUUUUCAUAUGCAGGAACAUAGCAGCGAUGCAUAGUGCGUGGUCCUAGUAAGGGCCUCAUUUUAGAGAAAUACGGGC
rnacentral:lncRNA from 1 species